UACGAAGGGGGCUAGCGUUGCUCGGAAUUACUGGGCGUAAAGCGCACGUAGGCGGAUUGUUAAGUCGGGGGUGAAAUCCUGGAGCUCAACUCCGGAACUGCCUUCGAUACUGGCGAUCUCGAGUUCGGGAGAGGUGAGUGGAACUGCGAGUGUAGAGGUGAAAUUCGUAGAUAUUAGCUAGAACACCAGUGGCGAAGGCGGCCAACUGGACCAUAACUGACGCUGAGGCGCGAAAGCUAGGGGAGCAAACAGG
rnacentral:rRNA from 1 species